GGGCCUCUAGCUCAAUGGCAGAGCUGCUGACUCUUAAUCAGCCGGUUGAGGGUUCGAAUCCCUCGGGGCUCACCA
rnacentral:tRNA from 1 species